GUUAAAGGAUGUGAUAUUGGCCAGGCUUCGUGUAGUCUGUUGUAGGCUUCGUGUAGGUUGUUGUAAAGUAGUUAUCAUAUCUAUAUCUUGUAUCUAAUAUCUUGUAUAGCAAGUAGAUCAAAUCUGUUUGUUACUUUCUUGUAAGCCAAGCAUGUAAGCCACGCCGGGGGCUGUUCCCGGUCCAUAUAAACACGAAGCCGUGAGCCUGAGAAGGUCACGUUAACCCCUAAUCUUUACAUGGUAAUCAGAGCGUUUCGAUCUUGGUCCCGUCUACACGAUGGCCUCUUCUUCCGCGCCACCUGCGUCGCACUCGAUCGGUUAUCCCCCAACCGAGAAGCUGGGACGCAACAACUUCGAAAUGUGGAAGGCUCAAGUUCUGUCCGCGAUCAAUGGUGCGCAGAUGGUGCAGACCAUUGAUCCCUCCUUCGUGCCGCCAGCGAAGGAAAUCGCCAAGUCCGCGGAGAAGCCGGACGAGAAGAUUCCAAACCCGGAGUAUGUCUCCUGGUUCACCAAAGAUCAGCAGGUGCUUAAUUACAUUCAGUCUUCUCUCUCUCGCAAGAUUAUGUCGCAGGUCACCAGUACUACAACUGCUGCUGGCACCUGGGCGGCGAUUGAAAGCAUGUUUGCUGCUCAGUCCCGUGCGCGUGUGAUCAACACACGCAUGGCGCUUGCAACGACGGUGAAAGGGACAUCCACCGUGACCGAGUACUUUACUCGGAUGAAGACCCUUGCGGAUGAAAUGGCGUCUGCAGGGAAGAAGCUCGAUGAUGAAGACAUCACCUCAUACAUACUGGCGGGACUCGAUGCUGAGUUCAACCCGCUGGUGUCUGCCAUUGCUGUAAGGGUGGAACCGAUUACUCUCUCUGAGCUCUUCACCCAGAUGACAAGUUUUGAGCAACGCAUGGAUCUUCUCCAUGGUGGCUCGGGUGCAUCUACGAACGUCGCAGCGCGCGGUCGUGGUGGAGGCAACAACGGCCGUGGCCGUGGUCGCGGGGCUUCCAAUAUUCCCGGUGGUGGCCGUGGUCGCGGCAGCCAGGGACGUGGUCCCAAUUUUGAAGCUGGUGUGUUCUGCCAGAUCUGCAACAAGGAGGGUCAUCAGGCUGUGCGCUGCUUCAAACGCUUCAACGCCACCUUCAACAACCCUCAGCAAGAGAAGAACAAGACAGUGGCCAAUGCUACCACGUCGUACGGUGUGGACACCAACUGGUAUGUUGACACCGGGGCGACAGACCACAUCACCGGCGAGCUGGAGAAACUCUCGGUGAGGGACAAGUACUUUGGCAACGAGCAAGUGCACACCGCCAGUGGGUCAGGUAUGAAAAUUAGCCAUGUUGGUCGUAGUUUGUUUCAUACCCCCGAUCGUAAUCUUGUCCUUGACAAAAUUCUGCAUGUUCCUCAAGCAAGCAAAAGCCUAGCAUCUGUCCAUCGCCUUGCUGCUGAUAAUGAUGUUUAUCUUGAAUUUUAUCCUGAUUGUUUCCUCAUUAAGGAUCGGGACACGGCGAGAGUCCUGCAUCAAGGCCAAUGUAGAGGUGGUCUAUAUCCCUUGGCGUCUACCACUUCGUUAAAUAAAGCUGCCCACUCCGUCGUCAAGAUUUCAGAGUCCCGAUGGCAUGCACGUCUUGGUCAUCCUUCGUCUUCAGUUGUUCAACAGAUUCUUCAUAAGCACCGCUUAGCUUUUAUUCCUGAGUCCAAUAAAGGUGCUGUGUGUGAUGCUUGCCAACAAGGCAAAAGUCACCAAUUGCCAUAUCCCAAGUCAUCCAGUGUAUCCUCUAGUCCUCUAGAAUUAAUAUUUUCUGAUGUCUGGGGGCCAGCACCCAUGUCCGUUGGCAAGAACAAUUUCUAUGUCAGUUUUAUUGAUGAUUUUAGUAAAUUUACUUGGGUAUAUCUGCUGAAGUAUAAAUCUGAGGUGUUUAGAUGUUUCAAUGAUUUUCAAAAUAUGGUGGAACGCCUAUUUAGCAAGAAAAUCAUUGCUGUGCAAACUGAUUGGGGAGGGGAGUAUCAGAAACUAAAUUCCUUUUUUCAACGAGUUGGAAUUACUCAUCAUGUUUCCUGCCCCCAUGCUCAUCAACAGAAUGGCUCAGCUGAGAGAAAACAUCGCCGUAUAGUUGAGACAGGACUAACCUUGCUAGCACAAGCUUCAAUGCCUCUGAAAUUUUGGGACGAGGCAUUCUUAACUGCCACUUAUCUUAUUAAUCGAAUGCCUAGCAAGGUCAUAGAUAACCAAUCUCCCCUUGAGCGCUUGUUUCAUCAGCAACCAGAUUAUGCCAAUCUUAGAACUUUCGGCUGUGCCUACUGGCCGAAUUUGAGGCCAUACAAUAGCAAGAAACUUCAGUACAGAUCAAAGGAAUGUGUGUUUCUUGGGUACAGUCAUAUGCACAAAGGGUUCAAGUGCCUGGAUGUUGCAGCCGGGCGUGUUUAUAUUUCGAGGGAUGUUGUUUUCGAUGAGAAUGUCUAUCCUUUCUCAAAACUACACUCGAAUGCUGGUGCCCUUCUUCGUGCAGAGAUAUCUCUUUUACCUGAACAUCUCCUUCCUUUGCAUGAUCGUGGGGAUGAUACGAACUAUGAAUCUUCAUGUGCUAACCCCACUAAUGACUCUGUUGAAGAAAUAUUGUCUUCAGGAAAUAUGCCAGAUACCUCAAAUCUGGACCAAAAUGGUGGCCAAAUGGAGAUCUCUCCUGUGUCUCCUGCUCCCUGCGUGGAGACAGGCGCGCGAUCCCAGGAUGCUCCUCCGACGUCGCAAAGGAUCGGAUCUGCCUUGGAUCCGGUGCUGGAUACGGAUCCCGUGCCUGCCUCUCCGCGUGCGCCAUCUGGUGCCAUGUCGCCGUCCCGCGGGAUUGCUCCGAGGCCGGGAGGGAUAGCAUCAUCCUCGGGAAGGCGGUAGCGGAUCUUCUACGCCAGCCACUUCGUCGUCCAGCAGCUCUUCGUCGGGAGAUGAUUCGUUGGGUGCUGAUUCAUCCGCUCCAGAUAAUGCACUGCCUGCAUCACCAUCUGUACCGCCUCCUUCAGAGCGUCCUCGGACACGGCUACAACAUGGCAUACGCAAGCCAAAAGUCUAUACUGAUGGAACAGUCAGGUAUGGUCACCUUGCUGUUGCUUCUGAGGAACCUUCAAGUCUGAAUGAUGCACUCUCUGAUCCUAAUUGGAAACAUGCUAUGGAUAAUGAGUACUCUGCCUUGAUGAAAAACAAAAUGUGGCAUCUUGUUCCUCCUCAGCAAGGAAGAAAUGUAAUUGAUUGUAAGUGGGUCUAUAAAGUAAAAAGGAAAGCAGAUGGCACUAUAGAUAGAUACAAGGCUCGAUUGGUUGCAAAAGGCUUUAAACAAAGAUAUGGGAUAGAUUAUGAGGACACAUUUAGUCCUGUAGUUAAAGCAGCAACAAUUCGUCUUGUUCUCUCUUUAGCAGUGUCACAAGGCUGGCAUCUUCAUCAAUUGGAUGUUCAAAAUGCCUUUCUACAUGGUAUACUUGAGGAAGAUGUAUUUAUGCGUCAGCCGCCGGGGUAUUCAGAUAAGCAGGUUCCUCACUACUUGUGCAAACUUGACAAAGCCUUGUAUGGGCUCAAACAAGCGCCUCGUGCCUGGUAUGCACGGUUGAGUCAGAAGUUGCAGUCAUUGGGUUUUACCCCAUCCAAGGCAGAUACAUCUCUGUUCUUCUAUAAAUCUGGAAAACAUGUCAUUUAUAUGCUGGUGUAUGUUGAUGAUAUAAUCAUUGCUAGUUCCUCACCUGAAGCCGUCAAAGCCUUACUUCAUGAUCUUGAAAAGGACUUCGCUAUCAAGGAUCUUGGCGAGUUACAUUAUUUUCUGGGAAUUGAAGUUAAGAAGAUACAUGGAGAGCUCCUUCUCACUCAGCAGAGGUAUGCCACUGACUUGUUAAAAAGGGUGAAUAUGAGUAAGUGUAAUUCAGUGAAUACGCCUCUACCAGUAUCAGAGAAGUUAUCUGUUACAAGUGGGCAUCCUCUUGGUCCUGAUGACUCAACUAGAUAUAGGAGUAUUGUUGGCGCCUUACAAUACUUGACAUUGACUCGUCCAGAUAUAUCCUUUUCAGUUAACAAAGUCUGUCAGUUUCUUCACUCUCCUACCACAGUUCAUUGGGAAGCCGUGAAACGUAUCUUGCGGUACUUAAAAGGAACUUUGGGUGUUGGACUUCGAAUAGGUAAAUCCAAGACCAUUCAGGUUAGCGCUUUUUCAGAUGCUGACUGGGCAGGUUGCCCUGAUGAUAGGCGUUCAACAGGAGGCUUUGCUGUUUAUUUGGGCGCAAAUCUGAUCUCUUGGAGUGCAAGGAAACAACCUACUGUUUCUAGAUCAAGUACAGAGGCUGAGUACAAGUCCAUGGCUAAUGCUACUGCUGAAGUAAUGUGGGUGAGGAAAUUGCUGGAUGAACUUGGUGUAUCACAUCCUAUGGCGUCUUGUUUAUGGUGUGAUAAUUUAGGUGCUACUUACCUAUCUGCCAAUCCAGUCUUUCAUGCUAGAACGAAGCAUAUUGAAAUAGAUUUUCACUUUGUCCGAGAACAAGUAGCUGCUAAGCAACUUGAUAUUCGGUUUAUAAAUUCAGGAGAUCAGAUUGCAGAUGGUUUUACUAAAGCACUUCCAGUGCAUAAGUUACAGGCAUUUAGAAACAAUCUCAAUCUCGUUGAUGAGUUGUGAUUGCGGGAGGGUGUUAAAGGAUGUGAUAUUGGCCAGGCUUCGUGUAGUCUGUUGUAGGCUUCGUGUAGGUUGUUGUAAAGUAGUUAUCAUAUCUAUAUCUUGUAUCUAAUAUCUUGUAUAGCAAGUAGAUCAAAUCUGUUUGUUACUUUCUUGUAAGCCAAGCAUGUAAGCCACGCCGGGGCUGUUCCCGGUCCAUAUAAACACGAAGCCGUGAGCCUGAGAAGGUCACGUUAACCCCUAAUCUUUA
rnacentral:lncRNA from 1 species